rnacentral:lncRNA from 10 species
AGCUUCACACAAGCUAUCGCUGACUGCCGGUGCAUGUUGGAAAUGGGCCACAGGGCUGGGCAUGAUAUGAGCUGCCUGGACAUUGGAGGGGGCUUCCCCGGAAUGGAGGGCUCCGGGCCCAAGUUUGAGGAGUUGAGAACAACAAGCAAUAACAACCAUACGAAGAAUCUAGCAAACUCAGACUUUACUUCUCCUUUUCGUGGUCCUGGAAACAGCUCAGAAUAAAGUGGAUCUGGACCUCUACAGAAGAGAGGGAGCUCCAGAUUCCAGAUAGGAUUUCACUGUGUUGUCCAAGCUGGAGUGCAGUGGCUCAAUCACAGGUCAUGGCAGCCUCGACCUCCUGGGGUUCAGGUGAUCCUCCCAUCUCAGCCUCCCGAGUAGCUGGGGCUACAGCACCUGCCAGGAGAACAGGCAGUGGCAGUGUGACCAAGAACCAUGCCUGGUGGAUCCAGACAUGAUCAAAGCCAUCAACCAGGGCAACUAUGGGUGAGAGGCCCUAGAGGCACCCUCAGUGGGCACACAUGCAUACUCAUGCAUGUAUACACGCAUGC